CGUUAAUUAGUUAUCCUUGUUACUUUGCGGUAUUCAGUGGCAACCGACAAUGCGUUUUCGAGAAUGGGUGUGGUGGUUAAAAUCUAAGGCGGUCAAAGGGCUGGUGUACCCUUCAAGCAUGCAGUUGAUGACGUUGAUGACCUCUGUUCUGGAGAACGCAAUCAGUUUUUGUGUCGGCAGCAUGCUGCAUGAUUUCAAUGCUUCUUCCAGACUUAACAUGUGGAAAUCCAUGCGGGAUUUCUGUGAAAGAUCAUUAGCUCCAGGCUCACAGCCAGCUGUCCCAGGCAGGCUCCCUUAGCUGCCAGCUGCGCCUCAUCAUCACACUUCGCCACCUGCUUCCUGAUCUCCUUCUUCAUGGUCUUGGAGACCUCCCCGCUCUUGAAGAUACCGAGCUCCUGCCGUAUGACUUCCGUCAGUGUCGUGGAGCAGUUGAGUAUCUCGCGUUCUAUAUGUUCCGUAGCCGUUUUCAUGUCAACUUUGUAUUUCUUGAAGGAUAUUUUAAUGCAUUGUGGUUGUGAGUUAUGAAUAUUAUGAAUACUUACUUAAUUAAUACCUACCUAGUUGUUAUUUGUUGGCCUGGAUGAAGAUGGCAGAGGACAGAGUGUUUUAGCGCUUCUUGAAAGAGGCCUAUGCCAUUGCUGAGCGAUUAAAGGCUGAUGAUGAUUA